AAGAUUAAAACUCAAAGGAAUAGACGGGGACCCGCACAAGUGGUGGAGCAUGUGGUUUAAUUCGAAGAUACGCGAAGAACCUUACCUAGCCUUGACAUAUUUUAGAAUCUUUUAGAGAUAGAGGAGUGCCUUCGGGAGCUAAUAUACAGGUGCUGCACGGCUGUCGUCAGCUCGUGUCGUGAGAUGUUGGGUUAAGUCCCGCAACGAGCGCAACCCUCGUCACUAGUUACUAACGGUUCGGCCGAGGACUCUAGUGAGACUGCCUUCGCAAGGAGGAGGAAGGUGAGGACGACGUCAAGUCAUCAUGGCCCUUACGGCUAGGGCAACACACGUGCUACAAUGGCCAGGACAAUGAGAGGCAAUACCGCGAGGUGGAGCAAAUCUCAUAAAAUAUCUCCCAGUUCGGAUUACACUCUCCAACUCGAGUGUAUGAAGUUGGAAUCGCUAGUAAUCGUAGAUCAGCAAUGCUACGGUGAAUACGUUCCCGGGUCUUGUACUCACCGCCCG
rnacentral:rRNA from 1 species